GACGAACGCUGGCGGCGUGCUUAACACAUGCAAGUCGAACGGUACAUACCCAGUAGUAAUACGAAGUAUGUAUAGUGGCGGACGGGUGAGUAACGCGUGAGCAAUCUGCCUUUAAGAGGGGGAUAACACCGGGAAACCGGUGCUAAUACCGCAUAAGACCACGCUACCACAUGGUAGAGGGGUAAAAGGAGCAAUCCGCUUAAAGAUGAGCUCGCGUCCCAUUAGCUAGUUGGUGAGGUAACGGCUCACCAAGGCAGCGAUGGGUAGCCGACCUGAGAGGGUGAUCGGCCACACUGGAACUGAGACACGGUCCAGACUCUUACGGGAGGCAGCAGUGGGGAAUAUUGGGCAAUGGAGGAAACUCUGACCCAGCAACGCCGCGUGAGGGAAGAAGGUUUUCGGAUUGUAAACCUCUGUCCUUGGGGACGAAGAAAGUGACGGUACCCAAGGAGGAAGCCCCGGCUAACUACGUGCCAGCCGCCGCCGUAAAAC
rnacentral:rRNA from 1 species